AUUGAACGCUGGCGGCAGGCCUAACACAUGCAAGUCGAGCGGAUGGAGGGAGCUUGCUCCUGGAUUCAGCGGCGGACGGGUGAGUAAUGCCUAGGAAUCUGCCUGGUAGUGGGGGAUAACGUCCGGAAACGGGCGCUAAUACCGCAUACGUCCUGAGGGAGAAAGUGGGGGAUCUUCGGACCUCACGCUAUCAGAUGAGCCUAGGUCGGAUUAGCUAGUUGGUGGGGUAAAGGCCUACCAAGGCGACGAUCCGUAACUGGUCUGAGAGGAUGAUCAGUCACACUGGAACUGAGACACGGUCCAGACUCCUACGGGAGGCAGCAGUGGGGAAUAUUGGACAAUGGGCGAAAGCCUGAUCCAGCCAUGCCGCGUGUGUGAAGAAGGUCUUCGGAUUGUAAAGCACUUUAAGUUGGGAGGAAGGGCAGUAAGUUAAUACCUUGCUGUUUUGACGUUACCAGCAGAAUAAGCACCGGCUAACUUCGUG
rnacentral:rRNA from 1 species